CACCAGACUCCUACGGGAGGCAGCAGUGGGGAAUAUUGCACAAUGGGGGAAACCCUGAUGCAGCAACGCCGCGUGAGUGAAGAAGUCAUUCGUGAUGUAAAGCUCUAUCAGCAGGGAAGAAAAUGACGGUACCUGACUAAGAAGCCCCGGCUAACUACGUGCCAGCAGCCGCGGUAAUACGUAGGGGGCAAGCGUUAUCCGGAUUUACUGGGUGUAAAGGGAGCGUAGACGGCAGUGCAAGUCCGGAGUGAAAGCCCGGGGCUCAACCCUGGGACUGCUCUGGAAACUGUAAAGCUGGAGUGCAGGAGGGGCAGGCGGAAUUCCUGGUGUAGCGGUGAAAUGCGUAGAUAUCAGGAGGAACACCGGCGGCGAAGGCGGCCUGCUGGACCGUAACUGACGUUGAGGCUCGAAAGCGUGGGGAGCAAACAGGAUUAGAUACCCUUGUA
rnacentral:rRNA from 1 species